GACGAACGCUGGCGGCGUGCUUAACACAUGCAAGUGGAGCGACGAACCAGGCUUCGGCCUGGGGGCAAAGCCGCGAACGGGUGAGUAACACGUGGGUAACCUGCCCUGAUGACCGGGACAACCCGAGGAAACUCGGGCUAAUACCGGAUGUGCUCCCACCACAUCAGUGGUGUGAGUAAAGGUAGCUUCGGCCUCCGCAUCGGGAUGGGCCCGCGGCGCAUUAGCUUAUUGGUGGGGUAAAGGCCACCAAGGCUACGAUGCGUAGCUGGUCUGAGAGGACGAUCAGCCACACUGGGACUGAGACACGGCCCAGACUCCUACGGGAGGCAGCAGUGGGGAAUCUUGCGCAAUGCGCGAAAGCGUGACGCAGCAACGCCGCGUGAGUGAAGAAGGCCU
rnacentral:rRNA from 1 species